AGCUGGUAAAAAGGAACCAAAU
rnacentral:miRNA from 1 species